GCCUGGAUGGCGGAAUGGUAGACGCGACGGACUCAAAAUCCGUUUCCCCUAAAGGAGUGAGGGUUCAAGUCCCUCUCUAGGCACCA
rnacentral:tRNA from 3 species